GACGAACGCUGGCGGCGUGCCUAAUACAUGCAAGUCGAGCGAUGAAGAUUGGUGCUUGCACCAAUGUGAAGAGCAGCGAACGGGUGAGUAACGCGUGGGGAAUCUGCCUUUGAGCGGGGGACAACAAUUGGAAACGAAUGCUAAUACCGCAUAACAACUUUAAACAUAAGUUUUAAGUUUGAAAGAUGCAAUUGCAUCAAGUAAAGAAGAUCUCGAGUCGUAUUAGGUAGUUGGGUAGGUAAAGGCUCACCAAGGGGAUGCAACAUAGCCGACCUGAGUGGGGGAGCGGCCAACUCGGAACUGGGACAGGGCCCAAACCCCUACGGGAGGCAGCAGUACGGGAUCGUCAGCAAUGGACGAAAGUCUGCCCGGACAACGCCGCGUGAGUGAAGAAGGGUAUCGGAUCAUAAAACUCUGUUUGUAGAGAAGGACGGUGGUGAGAGUUGAGAGCUCAUCAAGUGACGGUAACUACAGAGAAAGGAACGGCUAACUACGUG
rnacentral:rRNA from 1 species